rnacentral:rRNA from 1 species
UACGUAGGGUGCAAGCGUUGUCCGGAAUUAUUGGGCGUAAAGAGCUCGUAGGCGGUUUGUCGCGUCUGCUGUGAAAACACGAGGCUCAACCUCGCGCCUGCAGUGGGUACGGGCAGACUAGAGUGCGGUAGGGGAGAUUGGAAUUCCUGGUGUAGCGGUGGAAUGCGCAGAUAUCAGGAGGAACACCGGUGGCGAAGGCGGGUCUCUGGGCAACAACUGACGCUGAUGCGCGAAAGCCAGGGGAGCGAACGGG